UAAAAUUUAAAAGACUUAAGAAAUCUAAUUAAAAACACUGCAAAAAUGAGGGGGACCAAACGCGCAAUUAGACUAUUUAAGGUCUGAACGCGCGGACCCCUUUCUCCCCAAGCGGUGCUGUUUUGUUUCUGCUCUAAGGGUUUUUUUUAAAAAAAAAACUAGAAGAAAGAGUCAGAUUCUUUCUUCUUUCUGAAAAAAAAUUUUAGGGUUCCUUCAACCCUUUGUGCGCCGCCGUUCCCCUUUUGCGCCAAGGCUCCGAUUGCGACGGAGAUGGCCACAACUCGACGAGAUCGGCGUAAAGGUAAGUUUUCUCGCUUGCUUUCCUUUAUAUUUUAAGUUUUAAAAAAAUGAUAAAAAAAAAACUAAAUGAAUAAGCAAAUAACACAAACACUUACAAAGUAAACUAAAGAAAUAAAAAAAAACCUCUGUAAAUAACUUUGUAUUUCUUGUAAAUCUUUCUUUCUUUUCUAGUCUUUCUUUUUCUCUCUUUUUCCCUCUAUCCCCCCCUUUUACAGAUUACAAAAUGGCCUUUUAUAGGCCGAAAAAGAGAAAGAAAAUAAAUCAAAAAAGAAGGAAAAAAAAAUAUUGCUUGCUGUUUGUUUUUCUUUGGACUCCUUGAGUCCGUUUUUUCAGGCGUUCAUGGAGUGUAAACGCGCAUGGGGAGGCUGACCUCCGAGUUGUGCGGCGACUGGGCGUUGGGCACGACACUGAAGGCUUGCUGCGGUGCUCCUUGCUGCCAUUUGCUGAAGGUUCUAGGGUUUAGCUUUUCUUUUUUCUUUUGGGCCGUGUUUGCUUUAGAUGGGCUUGUAAAUCUUGGACUGAUUUUAAUUUUGUUUGGACCUGGGUCGAUUGGGCCCUAUUACAAAUAUCUUGGUGUCGAAAAUUUGAAAAGAUUUUAAAAGAAAAAUUUUUAUCUCUUGAAUGAAUCAAAAUAAUAAAACAUUCUUAUUUUAAAGAAAUAAAAUACCACACCCAGUGAGUUAGGGCACAAUAUUUUUAAAUCUUCAAAAUACCGAAUAUUGCCUUUUGUUUUAGAAAUUCUUAUUUCGAGAUAAUAAAAUGUCAUGACCAAUAAGUUAGGACCCGACAUUUUUGAAUUCCCGAGAAUAAGCUUUUAUUUGAAAAUUUUAUGAAUUUAUUGCAAAAAAAAAUACUUGGUUUUCUAAAUUCAUCGAAAAAUAAUCGCAAUCCAGUAAGUUAGAACAUGAUCUUUCUCGAGAAUCAUGAUUGCCAAAUAUUUAAAAAUUUAAAAAUAAAAAAAACGAUUUUAAUGCUUUGACGAAACCAAAAUAUAUUUUUUAAAAACAUGAAAAAAUGUCAAUGCGUAUAUAUGUAUAUAUACAAAAAUUAGGAAAAUGAAUCAAU
rnacentral:lncRNA from 1 species